rnacentral:tRNA from 1 species
UAGGUGAAUGCUCGCUGGAUAGAGCGCUUAGCUGUUAACUAAGAGUUUGUAGGAUCAAGGCCUUCUCACCUAG